GACGAACGCUGGCGGCGUGCCUAAUACACGCAAGUUGAGCGCUGAAGGUUGGUACUUGUACCGACUGGAUGAGCAGCGAACGGGUGAGUAACGCGUGGGGAAUCUGCCUUUGAGCGGGGGACAACAUUUGGAAACGAAUGCUAAUACCGCAUAAAAACUUUAAACACAAGUUUUAAGUUUGAAGGAUGCAAUUGCAUCACUCAAAGAUGAUCCCGCGUUGUAUUAGCUAGUUGG
rnacentral:rRNA from 1 species